rnacentral:rRNA from 1 species
AUGAACGCUGGCGGCGUGCCUAAUCCAUGCCCGUCGAGCGAACGGACGAGAAGCUUGCUUCUCUGAUGUUAGCGGCGGACGGGUGAGUAACACGUGGAUAACCUACCUAUAAGACUGGGAUAACUUCGGGAAACCGGAGCUAAUACCGGAUGAUAUUUUGAACCGCAUGGUUCAAAAGUGAAAGACGGUCUUGCUGUCACUUAUAGAUGGAUCCGCGCUGCAUUAGCUAGUUGGUAAAGUAACGGCUUACCAAGGCAACGAUGCAUAGCCGACCUGAGAGGGUGAUCGGCCACACUGGAACUGAGACACGGUCCAGACUCCUACGGGAGGCAGCAGUAGGGAAUCUUCCGCAAUGGGCGAAAGCCUGACGGAGCAACGCCGCGUGAGUGAUGAAGGUCUUCGGAUCGUAAAACUCUGUUAUUAGGGAAGAACAUAUGUGUAAGUAACUGUGCACAUCUUGACGGUACCUAAUCAGAAAGCCACGGCUAACUACGUG